CGGCCAUAUUUUCUAACAGAAAUUUACAUGUAGAAACUAUCUAAAGUUUUUGAGUUCUCAUAGCAGAACAUAGUGGUACCUAAUCAGUGCAGUUAUGAAAAUCCGGUCAGGUGAAACACAGACAAUCAGAUUGAUUGUAAAAGAAUGAAUCUAGUUAUGUUACAGCAAGGUUAUAUUUCUACACAGUCAUCAUCAUCGUCGUUGUCAUCAUUUUCACUAUCGUUAUCCCAGUCAAGCGUGUAAGAUCCUGCUGAUUUCAUGAGUUCUGUUAGUCCGGUUAGAUCCUCCAGAUAUGUAGGAUGAUUGAUAGCUUGAAGUAUGAAGUCCAUCCCUUUCGUUCGAUAUUCUGAUACAACCGUGCUACAACAAGCAGUGCAACAAGUUGAAGCAUGACCGACAAGUGUCAUCUGAGAAAACUGAGAUAUGGAGCCCCGAAUCUG
rnacentral:misc_RNA from 1 species